rnacentral:rRNA from 1 species
UACGGGGGGGGGCAAGCGUUGUUCGGAAUUACUGGGCGUAAAGAGCUCGUAGGCGGUCUGUCGCGUCGGUCGUGAAAACCUGCAGCUUAACUGUGGGCGUGCGGUCGAUACGGGCAUGACUGGAGUUCGGCAGGGGAGACUGGAAUUCCUGGUGUAGCGGUGAAAUGCGCAGAUAUCAGGAGGAACACCGAUGGCGAAGGCAGGUCUCUGGGCCAUAACUGACGCUGAGAAGCGAAAGCAUGGGGAGCGAACAGG